GCCAGCAUGGCAUAGUGGUUUGAGUAUUGGACUAUACUUCUGGAGACCAGGGUUUGAUUCCCCGCUCGGCCA
rnacentral:tRNA from 1 species